GACGAACGCUGGCGGCGUGCUUAACACAUGCAAGUCGAACGGAAAGGCCCUGCUCUUGUGGGGUGCUCGAUUGGCGAACGGGUGAGUAACACGUGAGUAACCUGCCCUUGACUUUGGGAUAACUUCAGGAAACUGGGGCGAAUACCGGAUAGGAGCUCCUGCUGCAUGGUGGGGGUUGGAAAGUUUCGGCGGUUGGGGAUGGACUCGCGGCUUAUCAGCUUGUUGGUGUGGUAGUGGCUGACCAAGGCUUUGACGGGUAGCCGGCCUGAGAGGGUGACCGGCCACAUUGGGACUGAGAUACGGACCAGACUCCUACGGGAGGCAGCAGUGGGGAAUAUUGCACAAUGGGCGGAAGCCUGAUGCAGAAACGCCGCGUGCGGGAUGACGGCCUUCGGGUUGUAAACCGAUUUCGACUGUGACGAAGAGUGAGUGACGGUAAUGGGUCAAGAAGCACCGGCUAACUACGUG
rnacentral:rRNA from 1 species